GACGAACGCUGGCGGCGUGCUUAACACAUGCGAGUCGAACGGAAAGGCCCUGCUUUUGUGGGGUGCUCGAGUGGCGAACGGGUGAGUAACACGUGAGUAACCUGCCCUUGACUUUGGGAUAACUUCAGGAAACUGGGGCUAAUACCGGAUAGGAGCUCCUGCUGCAUGGUGGGGGUUGGAAAGUUUCGGCGGUUGGGGAUGGACUCGCGGCUUAUCAGCUUGUUGGUGGGGUAGUGGCUUACCAAGGCUUUGACGGGUAGCCGGCCUGAGAGGGUGACCGGCCACAUUGGGACUGAGAUACGGCCCAGACUCCUACGGGAGGCAGCAGUGGGGAAUAUUGCACAAUGGGCGGAAGCCUGAUGCAGCAACGCCGCGUGCGGGAUGACGGCCUUCGGGUUGUAAACCGCUUUCGCCUGUGACGAAGCGUGAGUAACGGUAAUGGGUAAAGAAGCACCGGCUAACUACGUG
rnacentral:rRNA from 1 species